AAAAAGACGAAAGUCGCGUAAGCCUCUUUUUGAAAAUAAAAAAAAUAUUUUUAUUUGAAUUAAAAAAAAAUUAAAAUUUUUUUUGUUACAAUGUUUAAUACUUCAUUUAAAAAAAAAUAAAAAAAUAAAACCAAAUACCUUUUGUUUAAAAAAAAAAAAAAAAAAAAAAAAAAAAAAAAAAAAAANNNNNNNNNNNNNNNNNNNNNNNNNNNNNNNNNNNNNNNNNNNNNNNNNNNNNNNNNNNNNNNNNNNNNNNNNNNNNNNNNNNNNNNNNNNNNNNNNNNNAAAAAAAAAAAAAAAAAAAAAAAAAAAAAAAAAAAAAAAGUUUUUAUUUUGGAUAUUUCAUGUAUUUAGGUUAUAUAGGUUGUUUGAUUUAAUUUAAUUUUAUUUGUUUUUUGUACAUUUAUAAUUUUAAGCAACAUUCUGAUUUUUUUAGUGAUGUAUGUAAUCCAAUUUACGACCAUAUAAAAAUAAGAAAAAAAAAAAAAAAAAACAUUAAAAGCGCUCAAAAAGCGUUCAAAAGCAUUCAGUGAAUUAAAAACACCUAAAACACAUAAAACACCAAAAACAACACUGUGGUCAUUAAUAAAAAAAAAAAAAAAAAACUAAAUUAAAAAUAAAAAGAAAAUGAAAAAAAAAAAAAAAAAAAAAAAAAAAAUUAUGUUAAACAAUAAAUAUUUAAGCUUAAAACUUUUUAGUGAUAAAAAAAGCUCACUUUCAUUAAACACAGAUAGUAGUUUACAUAAUAAUAGUUUACAAAAUGUAAAAAAAUAUAAUAAAUAUAAUAGUAAUAUAAAUGAAAAAGACGAGAGUGAUAAUAAAAAUAGAAAAGCAUACCACAUAGAUAGAAAAGUAAUACAUGAAGGUUGGUUAAAUAAAUGGACUAAUAUUAUAGGUAGUUAUAGGCCUCGUUAUUUUGUUCUUGAAAAUGGUAUACUCAGAUACUCAAUUGAUAAGUAUUCUCCAACAAAAGAAAAUUUUAUUCUGUCUCAUUGUAAAAUUAGAGUAUGUCCAGAUGACCCAUUACACUUUGAAAUAGAUACAAACGAACAGGGAGUAUUGUAUUUAAAAGCUGAUAGUUCGGAUGAAAAACAUAAAUGGUACAUAUCGUUUAAAAAGGCACAAUUUAAUUAUAGACAUGGUUAUUAUAGGAAACAAGACUAUAUGAAAUUAAAUGCUAUUAGUGAAUAUAAUAACUCAGAAUUUUUAAAAAAUAUAAUAAAAAGUACAAAUGUUCAUAAUAAAAAUAAAAGCGUAGAUGAUAGAAUACCGAAUGACUCAAAACUGAGGAACGCUUCUAUGGUUAAUGAUGUGGUAAAAGACGCAGGUGGUAAUAAUAAAGGUGAUAAUGAUAGUAAAGGAAAUAAAACCAAUAAUGAAAAUAAAACCAAUAAUGAAAAUAAAACCAAUAAUGAAAAUAAAUCCAAUAUUGACAAUAUUAAAAAUAUUAGUAAUAAAAAAAUUAAAGGCAUAAACAACAAAAAAAAUACUAUUACUAGUAAUAAAACUAGUAGUAGUAGUAGUAAAAAUUUAGUUGAAAAUAUGAAUCGUAGAAAUAGUACUACUGAGAAUAAAAAUGUUGUUAAUUACAGCUGUAGUAAUAGUGGUCCUAACAAUAAAAAUUUUGCUAGUAAUAGUUUUAGUAUAAAUAAUAAUAUUAAUACUAACAAAAACAAUGCUAAUCGCAGUGGUAGUACAAAUACAAGCAUGUCUAAUAGUAAAAAUGUUACCAAUGACAGUAGUAAUCAGAGUAGUAGCAUGCGUGAAGAAAAAGAAAAUAUUAUAAAAUACCAGGAUGAAGAUGUAUACGACCCAUAUGUAUUAAAAAAUGACACAAUAUAUAAUUAUUUAAAAAAAAUAAAUUUAGAAGAAUUAUUCAUUAGCUCAACAGAUUAUGAAGAUAAGAACCCUACUUUAUGUUUAACAGAGAAUCUGAUGUUUUUAAAAGGGGUAAUUCAAGACAUUAUGAAAUGUUCAGAAUAUAGUGAAAGUAAAACUAUUUUAGAAAGAAUAAGAAAAAAUGGUUGUUCUAUUAAUGAUUCUAAUAAAGUAAGUUUGUUAUUAAAUAAUUUAUGUGAUUCGAUCGAUUAUAUAAACGUAGUUAUAGAUAAAUACAUAAAUAGUACUGAGAUGUUAUUAAAAGAAGAAAAAAUGCAAUCUAAAUAUAUAAACAAGUCAUUAAAGCUUUUAGCUAAACAAAAUUAUUUUCUUGAAAAAUCAAAAGAUAAAGAUAGUUUAAAAAAAUUAAUUAACAUAAAAGAGAUAGUUAAUAUAGAAAAAUUUAGAGAAUUAAAUAACCUAAAAAAUAUAAGCACUUUAAACAACAUUACAAAC
rnacentral:lncRNA from 1 species